AACGCACAUUGCACCUUCUGGUAAUACAGAGGGUAUGCCUGUUUGAGUGUCAUUAAUCUAUCAACACAAGUAAUUUAUUUUACCUGUGCUUGGAUUUUGAGGGUUUGCUGGCAUUGGUUUCAGCUCCUUUCAAAUACAUUAGCAGAUCUCAGUAUAAUCGGCUUUCAGCUUGGUAAUUAGAUUUAUCUGUGCUGUUGCUGAGGAAUUUUAAUAUCAGCUUUCAAAUUGUCCUUUAAUCUAGGACUGUCUCAAUUAAGAGGCAUAUAUUUGACCUUUGACCUCAAAUCAGGUAGGACUACCCGCUGAACUUAA
rnacentral:misc_RNA from 1 species